rnacentral:rRNA from 1 species
GGGUUGUGAGGUUAAGCGACUAAGCGUACACGGUGGAUGCCCUGGCAGUCAGAGGCGAUGAAGGGCGUACUAAUCUGCGAUAAGCGCCGGUAAGGUGAUAUGAACCGUUAUAACCGGCGAUACCCGAAUGGGGAAACCCAGUGUGAUUCGUCACACUAUCAUUAACUGAAUCCAUAGGUUAAUGAGGCGAACCGGGGGAACUGAAACAUCUAAGUACCCCGAGGAAAAGAAAUCAACCGAGAUUCCCCCAGUAGCGGCGAGCGAACGGGGAGGAGCCCAGAGCCUGAAUCAGCAUGUGUGUUAGUGGAAGCGUCUGGAAAGGCGCGCGAUACAGGGUGACAGCCCCGUACACAAAAGCGCAUGUGCUGUGAGCUCGAUGAGUAGGGCGGGACACGUGGUAUCCUGUCUGAAUAUGGGGGGACCAUCCUCCAAGGCUAAAUACUCCUGACUGACCGAUAGUGAACCAGUACCGUGAGGGAAAGGCGAAAAGAACCCCGGCGAGGGGAGUGAAAAAGAACCUGAAACCGUGUACGUACAAGCAGUGGGAGCACCCUUUGGGUGUGACUGCGUACCUUUUGUAUAAUGGGUCAGCGACUUAUAUUCUGUAGCAAGGUUAACCGAAUAGGGGAGCCGGAGGGAAACCGAGUCUUAAUUGGGCGUUAAGUUGCAGGGUAUAGACCCGAAACCCGGUGAUCUAGCCAUGGGCAGGUUGAAGGUUGGGUAACACUAACUGGAGGACCGAACCGACUAAUGUUGAAAAAUUAGCGGAUGACCUGUGGCUGGGGGUGAAAGGCCAAUCAAACCGGGAGAUAGCUGGUUCUCCCCGAAAGCUAUUUAGGUAGCGCCUCGUGAAUUCAUCUCCGGGGGUAGAGCACUGUUUCGGCUAGGGGGCCAUCCCGGCUUACCAACCCGAUGCAAACUGCGAAUACCGGAGAAUGUUAUCACGGGAGACACACGGCGGGUGCUAACGUCCGUCGUGAAGAGGGAAACAACCCAGACCGCCAGCUAAGGUCCCAAAGUCAUGGUUAAGUGGGAAACGAUGUGGGAAGGCCCAGACAGCCAGGAUGUUGGCUUAGAAGCAGCCAUCAUUUAAAGAAAGCGUAAUAGCUCACUGGUCGAGUCGGCCUGCGCGGAAGAUGUAACGGGGCUAAACCAUGCACCGAAGCUGCGGCAGCGACGCUUAUGCGUUGUUGGGUAGGGGAGCGUUCUGUAAGCCUGCGAAGGUGGCCUGUGAGGGUUGCUGGAGGUAUCAGAAGUGCGAAUGCUGACAUAAGUAACGAUAAAGCGGGUGAAAAGCCCGCUCGCCGGAAGACCAAGGGUUCCUGUCCAACGUUAAUCGGGGCAGGGUGAGUCGACCCCUAAGGCGAGGCCGAAAGGCGUAGUCGAUGGGAAACGGGUUAAUAUUCCCGUACUUGGUGUUACUGCGAAGGGGGGACGGAGAAGGCUAUGUUGGCCGGGCGACGGUUGUCCCGGUUUAAGCGUGUAGGUGUGUGUUCCAGGUAAAUCCGGUUCACUUUAACACUGAGGCGUGACGACGAGGCACUACGGUGCUGAAGCAACAAAUGCCCUGCUUCCAGGAAAAGCCUCUAAGCAUCAGGUAACAUCAAAUCGUACCCCAAACCGACACAGGUGGUCAGGUAGAGAAUACCAAGGCGCUUGAGAGAACUCGGGUGAAGGAACUAGGCAAAAUGGUGCCGUAACUUCGGGAGAAGGCACGCUGACACGUAGGUGAAGUGAUUUACUCAUGGAGCUGAAGUCAGUCGAAGAUACCAGCUGGCUGCAACUGUUUAUUAAAAACACAGCACUGUGCAAACACGAAAGUGGACGUAUACGGUGUGACGCCUGCCCGGUGCCGGAAGGUUAAUUGAUGGGGUCAGCGCAAGCGAAGCUCCUGAUCGAAGCCCCGGUAAACGGCGGCCGUAACUAUAACGGUCCUAAGGUAGCGAAAUUCCUUGUCGGGUAAGUUCCGACCUGCACGAAUGGCGUAAUGAUGGCCAGGCUGUCUCCACCCGAGACUCAGUGAAAUUGAACUCGCUGUGAAGAUGCAGUGUACCCGCGGCAAGACGGAAAGACCCCGUGAACCUUUACUAUAGCUUGACACUGAACAUUGAGCCUUGAUGUGUAGGAUAGGUGGGAGGCUUUGAAGUGUGGACGCCAGUCUGCAUGGAGCCGACCUUGAAAUACCACCCUUUAAUGUUUGAUGUUCUAACGUGGACCCGUUACCCGGGUUGCGGACAGUGUCUGGUGGGUAGUUUGACUGGGGCGGUCUCCUCCUAAAGAGUAACGGAGGAGCACGAAGGUUGGCUAAUCCUGGUCGGACAUCAGGAGGUUAGUGCAAUGGCAUAAGCCAGCUUGACUGCGAGCGUGACGGCGCGAGCAGGUGCGAAAGCAGGUCAUAGUGAUCCGGUGGUUCUGAAUGGAAGGGCCAUCGCUCAACGGAUAAAAGGUACUCCGGGGAUAACAGGCUGAUACCGCCCAAGAGUUCAUAUCGACGGCGGUGUUUGGCACCUCGAUGUCGGCUCAUCACAUCCUGGGGCUGAAGUAGGUCCCAAGGGUAUGGCUGUUCGCCAUUUAAAGUGGUACGCGAGCUGGGUUUAGAACGUCGUGAGACAGUUCGGUCCCUAUCUGCCGUGGGCGCUGGAGAACUGAGGGGGGCUGCUCCUAGUACGAGAGGACCGGAGUGGACGCAUCACUGGUGUUCGGGUUGUCAUGCCAAUGGCACUGCCCGGUAGCUAAAUGCGGAAGAGAUAAGUGCUGAAAGCAUCUAAGCACGAAACUUGCCCCGAGAUGAGUUCUCCCUGAGACUUAGAGUCUCCUGAAGGAACGUUGAAG